UACGGAGGGUGCAAGCGUUAUCCGGAUUUACUGGGUUUAAAGGGUGCGUAGGUGGGUAGGUAAGUCAGUGGUGAAAUCUUCGAGCUUAACUCGGAAACUGCCAUUGAUACUAUUUAUCUUGAAUACUCUGGAGGUAAGCGGAAUAUGUCAUGUAGCGGUGAAAUGCUUAGAUAUGACAUAGAACACCAAUUGCGAAGGCAGCUUACUACAUAGUUAUUGACACUGAGGCACGAAAGCGUGGAGAUCAAACAGG
rnacentral:rRNA from 1 species